CCUACGGGUGACAGCAGUGAGGAAUAUUGGUCAAUGCACGAGAGUCUGAACCAGCCACGUAGCGUGAAGGAUGACUGCCCUAGGGGUUGUAAACUUCUUUUAUAUGGGAGUAAAAUGUUCCACGUGUGGGAUUUUGUAUGUACCGUAUGUGUAAGAAUAGGCUAACUCCGUGCCAGCAGCGGCGGUAAUACGGAGGAGCCGAGCGUUAUCCGGAUUUAUUGGGUUGAAAGGGAGCGUAGGUGGAGUGGUAAGUCAGUUGUGAAAGUUUGCGGCUCAACCGUACAAUUGCAGUUGAAACUGGCAGUCUUGAGUACAGUAGAGGUGUGCGGAAUUCGUGGUGUAGCGGUGAAAUGCUUAGAUAUCACGAAGAACUCCGAUUGCGAAGGCAGCUCACUGGACUGCAACUGACACUGAGGCGCGAAAGUGUGGGUAUCAAACAGGAUUAGAUACCCCUGUAGUC
rnacentral:rRNA from 1 species